AUGUAUUUGGCGAGUGCCACGAGGCCUGACAUCUCCUUUGCUGUGAGCAAGCUGAGUCGGUUUGUGUCAAAACCGGGAGAUGAUCAUUGGCGUGCGCUUGAGAGAGUUAUGCGCUACUUGAAGGGCACUGCGAGCUAUGGGAUUCACUACACCGGGUAUCCAAGGGUACUGGAGGGUUAUAGUGACUCGAACUGGAUAUCUGAUGCUGAUGAGAUUAAGGCCACAAGUGGUUAUGUUUUUACACUUGGUGGUGGCGCUGUUUCCUGGAAGUCUUGCAAGCAGACCAUCUUAACGAGGUCAACUAUGGAAGCAGAACUCACAGCAUUAGACACUGCCACUGUUGAAGCAGAGUGGCUUCGUGAGCUAUUGAUGGACUUACCUAUGGUUGAAAAACCAAUACCCCCUAUCCUGAUGAACUGUGAUAAUCAAACUGUGAUCGUCAAGAUAAACAGUUCUAAGGACAAUAUGAAGUCCUCAAGGCAUGUGAAGAGGAGAUUAAAAUCUGUCAGGAAACUGAGGAACUCCGGAGUUAUUACAUUGGAUUAUAUC
rnacentral:rRNA from 1 species